rnacentral:rRNA from 1 species
AACGAACGCUGGCGGCAUGCCUAACACAUGCAAGUCGAACGAGACCUUCGGGUCUAGUGGCGCACUGGUGCGUAACGCGUUGGAACCUGCCCUUAUGUUCGGAAUAACUUCCCGAAAGGGGUGCUAAUACCGGAUAAUGUCUUCGGACCAAAGAUUUAUCGCCUUUGGAUGUGCCCGCGUUGGAUUAGCUAGUUGGUAGGGUAAAAGCCUACCAAGGCGACGAUUCAUAGCUGGUCUGAGAGGAUGAUUAGCCACACUGGGACUGAGACACGGCCCAGACUCGUACGGGAGGAAGAAGUGGGGAAUAUUGGACCAUGGGCGCAAGGCUGAUCCAGAAAUGCCGCGUGAGUGAUGAAGGCCUUAGGCUUGUAAAGCUCUUUUAGCCGGGAUGAUAAUGACGGUACCGGGAGAAUAAGCUCCGGCUAACUCCGUG